UGAUGCCCCUGGGCCCCACCCCGGGGCAGGAGGGCGGCGAUCGGCGCCCGGGAAGCGGCUGAGGGGCGCCGCGACUCUCAGCGAGCGCCGCCCGAGCCCCAGCCCGCCCGGGCAGCCUCCGAGGCCUAGGGCGCCGCCGCCAGGUGCAGGGGUGUUGGAACCCUUUGAAGAAGUGUGUAGCUAAUAGCCCAUACAUAAUUCAGAAGAAGUCUUCAAUGGAAGACCCCCGGGGGAUAAAUGGACAGUCUCCCAUUGGCACUGCUGUUCAAUAUGUUACGACAUUUGGAGCAACCACAGCAGCAGCUCUCACCAGAAAUUAAAGGUGGAGUCUCGCUCUGUCGCCCAGGCUGGAGUGCACUGGCGCAAUCUCGGCUCACUGCAAGCUCCGCCUCCCGGGUUCGCGCCGUUCUCCUGCCUCAGCCUCCUGAGUAACUGGGACUACAGGCGCCCGCCACCACAUCUGGCUAAUUUUUUGUAUUACUAGUAGAGACGGGGUUUCACCGUGUUAAGCAGGAUGGUCUCGAUCUCCUGACGUCGUGAUCCACCCGCCUUGGCCUCCCAAAGUGCUGGGAUUACAGGCAUGAGCCACCGCCCCAGGCCUAUAUAUUUCUGAAUCUUAACAUCAUUUGAUUAUCGCUUCCUGUACUUCACAAUCUAUCAGAUGAUGUGUUCUGUCAGUUUUACCUCUAGCUUUUAAACAUUUUAAACUGCAACCCACACUUGGAAACAUUUUUCAUCACAAUUCAGUAAAAAUAUAUUUGCCAUAUUUGCAUAUGUGAAUAUCUAUAUGGCUAAAAAAUUCAUGGACUAACACUCUUAUGAAGUGUGGUGACCACUGAUAUUUAUAUUCUAUUUCAUUUUUCAAAAAUCUUAGUAGCAAGCCAUUCAAGUCAUUCCAAGACCCAUUAAUACAUUGUAACCAGUAGUUUGAAAAACAUUAUUUUUGUAUUUUCUUCUUCCUCUCCCUCUUGCUGGGGCUUUUCAAUGACUAUGAUAUGGACAACUCCAAAAUGCCCUACUCCUGCUCUAAAUUGUAUUGUUUUUUAAAAUGUGCAUUUCUGAUGAGAUCACUUCCUUUCUUAAACACAAAAUACUCCUAAGUAGGGAUGAAAUAUGUUCGUCCUUCAUUAUUUGGACCCUGUUGCCAUUUUCAAUCUGACUUCGUAGUUCCAUUUCCAAUCACUGUGCUGUAGUCAAACUGACCACAACAAUCAAUUCCAAAAAGGCACAAUUAUUUUUUAAAUGUCCUUAAUGUUUUCUGAAGUCACGAAAAACAAGUAUGUACUUUAAGAAGUGAAACAAUCCAAAUAUGUGUAAAGAAAGAUAAUAACCUUCCCUCCACCUCCUCCCAUUCCCAUCCUCUUGAAAUAACCAGUGCUAUCAGCUUGGGAUGUAUACUUUUAUGGCUUUCUCCCUCCUUUUCCAAACAUAGCUAUUAUUUGUAAGACUUUGUUUUUGUUUUUAAAUGGUAUCAUGGUGUACAUAUCACUCUGCAGCUUGUUUUUAUGCUUGAAAGUAGACAUCUCCUCGGGUUCAUAGAUAUGGCUGUAUCUGAUUCUUUUAAGAAGUGCAGUGCAGUUCUUUCACACCUGUAAUUUAAAAUAUAAUUUAUUAUCUACUGGUAGAUGAUCAAGUAGAUCCCAUUUUUGCAGUAACCAAAAUGGUGCAGUGAAAGUCCUUAUAUACUCGCCUUUUUUAUGUCAAUAGGAUAUAAUCUCAAGUCCGAGUUUUGGUCAUAGCCUGUAUAUGCAAACUGAAAAGCUUGUUUGAAUAAAUACUGCCAACUCAUGUUUCCAA
rnacentral:lncRNA from 1 species